rnacentral:rRNA from 1 species
AGGACGAACGCUGGCGGCGUGCUUAACACAUGCAAGUCGAACGGUGACGGUGGGAGCUUGCUCCUACCUGAUCAGUGGCGAACGGGUGAGUAACACGUGAGUAACCUGCCCCAGACUCUGGAAUAACCCCGGGAAACCGGAGCUAAUACCGGAUACGAGACGAAGCUGCAUGGCUAUCGUCUGGAAAGUUUUUCGGUCUGGGAUGGACUCGCGGCCUAUCAGCUUGUUGGUGAGGUAAUGGCUCACCAAGGCGACGACGGGUAGCCGGCCUGAGAGGGCGACCGGCCACACUGGGACUGAGACACGGCCCAGACUCCUACGGGAGGCAGCAGUGGGGAAUAUUGCACAAUGGGCGAAAGCCUGAUGCAGCGACGCCGCGUGAGGGAUGAAGGCCUUCGGGUUGUAAACCUCUUUCAGCAGGGAAGAAGCGAAAGUGACGGUACCUGCAGAAGAAGCACCGGCUAACUACGUGCCAGCAGCCGCGGUAAUACGUAGGGUGCGAGCGUUGUCCGGAAUUAUUGGGCGUAAAGAGCUUGUAGGCGGUUUGUCGCGUCUGCUGUGAAAAUCCGAGGCUCAACCUCGGACUUGCAGUGGGUACGGGCAGACUAGAGUGUGGUAGGGGAGACUGGAAUUCCUGGUGUAGCGGUGGAAUGCGCAGAUAUCAGGAGGAACACCGAUGGCGAAGGCAGGUCUCUGGGCCACUACUGACGCUGAGAAGCGAAAGCAUGGGGAGCGAACAGGAUUAGAUACCCUGGUAGUCCAUGCCGUAAACGUUGGGAACUAGGUGUGGGUCUCAUUCCACGAGAUCCGUGCCGCAGCUAACGCAUUAAGUUCCCCGCCUGGGGAGUACGGCCGCAAGGCUAAAAC